CAUGUUGCCAGCACGUCGUGGUGGGGACUCAUGGGAGACUGCCGGGGUCAACUCGGAGGAAGGUGAGGACGACGUCAAAUCAUCAUGCCCCUUAUGUCUUGGGCUUCACGCAUGCUACAAUGGCCGGUACAAUGGGUUGCGAUACUGUGAGGUGGAGCUAAUCCCAAAAAGCCGGUCUCAGUUCGGAUUGGGGUCUGCAACUCGACCCCAUGAAGUCGGAGUCGCUAGUAAUCGCAGAUCAGCAACGCUGCGGUGAAUACGUUCCCGGGCCUUGUACACACCGCCCGUCAAGUCACGAAAGUCGGUAACACCCGAAGCCGGUGGCCUAACCCUUGUGGGGGGAGCCGUCGAAGGUGGACCAGCG
rnacentral:rRNA from 1 species